UUGGGCUGCCUUGUUUUGUUUCAUACUC
rnacentral:piRNA from 1 species